AGAACACGUAUAUGUUUAAAAGCUGAUGCACAAAGCUCUUUCCACUAUUACUCACUAUGAAACCCCAAAAACUAGUCACUCACAACUUCUGCAACACACUUUGCAGCAUUUCACAUCUUGUUUCUCUCGGCUUUUCACAUCCAAGAGAGGAACCUUUCGGUGGCACGAAUAUGCACAGCACACAGAGGCCACCAUAUUGGCCUCACAAACACAGAAAUGAGUAUUUCUUGACUAAAUCGACACUAACAGAAUUAGGAUUUUCCUCUCUUUUUUUAUUAUAAAAAAGUAGCUAUUCUUAAAGAAGAACGAAGAAGACCAUAAGCAGAUCGGCUCUCUGAUACCAUGUGAACAAUACUGUGAAUAGUGUCAUGAGCCGUAUCAUCAAACACUCUCAUGAACAGUACCAUGAAUAGUAAAAAGUGCCAAAACUAGAGAGAGGAAAAAGAAGAGGAAAAGAAGGCAAGAAGAAAAGAUGAAACAGAAGAGAGGAGUGAGUGAUACGAGAUUCAGUCGCCCAUGCCCCGCUAAUAUCUUUAUUUAUAAUGUUUAUUUAGGAUUUAUAAAGGAUAAAAAUACCCUCAAUGAAAAUAAAUAUCCUAAAAUAUUUAAAAAUGACAGAAAUACACCAAUUCACAAACAACGCUAUCUUUUAAUAGAUACCUCUGUGUUUCUAACCUGUCCAUUGCAUAUGCCUGUUUUCCUUUUUUCUUAUGCAGGUUUUGGUGAUUAAUUAUGCUUGAGUGUCAGAUAUUUAUUGUUUAUACUCUUUUCUACAAGAAAAUUUCAGUAUUGUGUUGUAGCUAGACACAUGGAUCAGUCGUUUUUGUAAUGUAGGUACUAGCUGUGCCAGCCAUUUACUUCCUGCUCUAUAUAUUUGUUGAUUAAAGGGAUGAAAGGGGUGGUCAUAAACCAAUUCCCUAUUGUUAACUGGUUUGGCAGUUCGAUACUAUUGCUUAAUUUGUUGUUCAGAUACUCUUCUCUUGGAAGGUGAAAAGAAAUAUGUCAGUUCUUGUUCAUGUUUAAGCAUUCCAUAAUAUAGGACCAGCUUAUUUCCUCUGGUUGUUGGUCUUCAUUUUACUUGAGUUCAUGUUAUAGUGUUUGUGGGUAUUAAAUGCGACAACAUUAUGGCAUUAACUGUGGUCAGUGAAUUGUGUUUUAUUCUUCUGCAUCUAGGAAAUUUCUUUCAUGUACAAUUUGUUGCAGCUAUGUCGGAUCGACACCUUACUGUACCUCUUGGUCUAUCCUCAGCGACCACUUCUGUCAACAAAAACAAUUGAGCUGAUCCACUAUGACAAGCUUGGGGCAGGGCAAAAUGCAACGGUUGCUGUGAUGAGCUACAGUGGCUAUGAAAUUGACGAUGCAAUUGUCAUGAAUAAGGCUUCACUAGAUCGUGGUUUUGGUUGUUGUAUUGUGAUGAAAGAAACUACUGUUCUUAGUCAAAAGUACAGCAAUAAAACCUCUGACAGAUCAGGCCUAGGAUGCUACCAACAGGGAAUGGUGAUUUUGUUCCCGAUCCUCGUUUUCAGAUACUAGAUAAUGAUGGACUUGCUUGUCCUGGUGAAAUAAUUGGACCUAAUGAUAUUUAUGUAAACAAGCAAAGUCCGGUAAAUACAACUCCCACUCCCAAUAGGGAAUUAUCUGACAGUCAAUAUAAGACCACACAUGUAACCUACAAAGGUCCCAAAGGGGAAACAGCUGUUGUUGAUAAGGUGCUACUAAUGUCAGAUACCAAUGAAAACUUAUGCAUCAAAUUUCUCUUUCGUCAUACCCGUAGGCCUGAGGUGGGUGAUAAAUUCAGUAGCAGGCAUGAGCAGAAAGAUGUUUGUGGUACCAUCGUACAGCAGGAAGACUUUCCGUUUUCUGAACAUGGGAUUUGCCCUGUCUUGAUUAUGAAUCCUCAUGGUUAUCCUAGGUCCUAGAUAAGAUGCAUGCUCGGCCUAGCGGGCCUAAGGUGUUGCUCACUAGACAACCAACCGAAGGACGGGCUUGGGAUGGAGGACUAAGGUUAUGGGAAAUGGAGCGCGACUGUUUGAUAGCUUACGGUGCAAGUAAUAUGAUCCUAGAACGCUUGAUGAUCUCCAGUGAUAAGUUUCAGGUUCAGCUAAGGUGAAUGCAGGUCCAUCGUCUCCAGCUUUAUUUUUUCACAGGUCUGCACAAAAUGUGGUUUGUUGGGAUAUUACCAUCAUACAUUGAAAAUGGCCUGGUGUAAUGUCUCUACUUUGACACUACCUUAGGCAUGCAAGCUUCUAAUCCAGGAAUUGCAAGCAAUGAAUAUCGUCCCUCGUCUCCAACUUUCAGAGGCAUGACAAGCUUAAUUGUGCAGUUAAGACUUAUCCAAAUUCUGUGACAUGCUAAUUGCAUAUAACUAAUAUGUGAAAUCCACACAACUGCUUGGAAAAUGUCCACGAUUCUGAAAAGUUAAAUAAAUCGUCUUCGUGAUGCAUUAUGGGGUGUUAACCAAGCGAUGGAAGGAACGUUGAAAAGUAGAUUUGUGGAGGCUGCAUCCAUCAAAAGUCUCUGAAGAUUUGAAGUCUCGGUGCUACCUCUCCUACAAUAGUAGGUUCUGUGUUUUGUGAAUUGAAAUCGAACCCCAAAUGCAAGAAGUUUCGGGUUGCCAGUUUUGAUUAAAACAAAUUUGGAUUGUCAGCUUAGUCAGGAAAAUCAGCUUCUUAUGGAUGACCUACUAUAUAGCAUAUUUAUUGGAAUUAUACAUAGGAGACUAUGACAUUGUGUUUCUACCUGUUAUGAAUACGAAAGAUAAGGUGGUUAGGCUAAA